GUGUCUUUGUCACGGUCAUGGAAGUUGGUCUUCAAGAGGAACAGCGCAAGCAACAAGCUGUAAUAGCUGCGUUACUAUCCAGGAAAAGGCGACCAAAGAAAUCCAGAAAACACAAACUGUAUAGACGCUUGAAAGGAAAACUUGAAGGGAGACAGUAUGAUCAGGACCAUAUCGAGGGUAAGCAG